rnacentral:rRNA from 1 species
UACGUAGGGGGCAAGCGUUGUCCGGAUUUAUUGGGCGUAAAGAGCGUGUAGGCGGCCUGACAAGUCUGCUGUGAAAACUCGAGGCUCAACCUCGAGCUGUCGGCGGAAACUGUCUGGCUAGAGUCCGGAAGAGGAGAGUGGAAUUCCUGGUGUAGCGGUGAAAUGCGCAGAUAUCAGGAAGAACACCUAUGGCGAAGGCAGCUCUCUGGGACGGUACUGACGCUGAGACGCGAAAGCGUGGGGAGCGAACAGG